UAAUAUGAUUAAAUAUGGCCAAUAAGUUUAAAGCAGUUUUGAAUAAUGCCUGUGGGAACAGACAAUAAUAUCGGUUACAUUCAAGAAGCAUCCAGAAUGCUUCAAUCAAUCAGGUUGUAAGGAUGUAGAGAACAACAAGUAUGAACCUAUGCAACCCAGACGACUAAAUGCUCAAACUAAGGCUGAGAAGACCGAAGUUGUACCGUUUGAAAAGAGCCAUAUACCAGAAGACUGGAGGGCGGCGUUCUAUCUACUAGUGCGAUCUGUACGAUUUGCAGCUGAAACACUUGGUGGUCUGUACCGGGCUGCUGUUCAUCCUAAUGCUGUGUUUGAGGAGUUUGUACAACAAAAUUAACUCGCACAACAGCUGCUCGUCUAUGCAAAUGUAUUGAGGAAAUAAAUCUUGGCUGAAUGA